rnacentral:rRNA from 1 species
UUAUCGUAUAACCGAGGUGCUAGGGCUGUCGCUGACCCCUUCAAAGGGGUCGUGCACGCCCAAGUGCUCUCUCACAUCCAUCUCACCCCUUUGUGCAUCACCGCGUGGGCCACCUUUUUGGCUCGUUUCAAAGAGGUCGGUUCGCGUUAUUGCUACACACACACAUUUAUGUAUAGAAUGUCUUACUUUUUGCGGUAAUACGCAAUAAAUAAAUACAACUUUCAACAACGGAUCUCUUGGNUCUCGCAUCGAUGAANAACGCAGCGAAAUGCGAUACGUAAUGUGAAUUGCAGAAUUCAGUGAAUCAUCGAAUCUUUGAACGCACCUUGCGCCCCUUGGNAUUCCGAGGGGCACACCCGUUUGAGUGUCGUGAAACAUAUCAUCAACCUUCUUUUGNUUUAUUGACCGGGGGAAGGCUUGNACUUUGGAGGUCUUUCAUUGCUGGCAUCCUUUCUAAGCCAGCUCCUCCUAAAUGAAUCAGUGGGAUCCGCUUCGGUGAUCCUCGACGUGAUAAGCAUUAUUCUACGUCUUGGG